AGAGUGCGUGUGCCGACUGAGCCAGUGUGAGUGUGCAGGGGCUGGCGGAGAGACUGGGAGCGAGUGUGUGUGCAUCUAACCGGGAGGUUGUGAGUUUGUGUGCGCGCACGCCCGCAGAGAAGUUGUGAGCCUGUGUGUGCACCUAACACAGAGGUUCUAAGUGUGUGCACUUGUAUGUGUGUGUGCACACGCGGACAGAGUGAUUGUAAGGAUAUGUGUGCACCUCACAGAGAGGUUGUGAGAUUGUAAGGGUUUGCGCACCUAACGGAGAUGUUGUGAGUGCUUUUUUUCCUGACAGGCUGUGAGUUUGUGUUGUGUGUAUUAGAGGUUUGUAUGGGCCUGACUGAGGGGUUGUGGAAUGUGUGUGCGUGAGCAUGAGCCUGGAGAGGUUCUAUGCCUGUUCACUCCUGACAGAGUUUGUGAGUGUGUAUGAUUGUGUGACUACACCACCCAACUGGCGGAUUGAAUGUGUUGUAUACAUCUACUGGGAGGGCGUGUGUGUGUGUAAAUUGUAUACAAUGAGGCUGUGUGCAUCAGUGCACCUAACCACGAACCUGUGUGUACAGAUGUGUGUGCCUUCCUGUGUAUCAGACAAUGAGGCCAUGUGUCUGGGUGUGUUUAGUUGGUUGUGCAAGUGCUGGAGUCUGGGGGGGAGAAGAGGCAGUUCGGAGCCAUCCCCGCUUUCUCCCUUCUCCACUCUUUGCUGUCUCCGGGCCACCAGCAUGUUGGGAGGACUUACAAGGCCUGGCCCUUCCAGGGCCCUUUUAGGACCCAGCUUUAAAGGGCACUUGUGGAUCCCUUAUAGUGCCAGGAGUGUCCCCUCCCAGAGAGCUGGCCAAGGGCUCAGCCAGCACUGUGCUUCUGUGCCUGAUUUGAUUUUGGCACAUUUUGACCCCAGCCCCCCAUUCUGUUUCCUUUUUGUCCUUUCUCUUGGUGUCUGUGUUCCCACUUAGAGACUUGGCGUGUCCCCCUCUCUUGCAUGCCUGGAACUUUCUGUGCCUCUAGUGUGUUGGGACUUGGACAGACUGUUUUGAAGGGUCAAGGAAUCUGGCUUCUUUUGUUCUGGUGACUAAAGCUUGCCUCAUUCUCUUCCUGUCCUGCGCCUCGUGAACACCUGGACUGAGGUCAGGUGCAGCCCACCAGGACCCCUGACCCCUCUCCAGGCCGGAGCUGGCCACAGCCGGCUUUGGGGAUGAGUCAGAUUUCUUUCUAGGGGCUCCCACCUUUGCUGUGCCAGUGGGUGAGGUGUGCAGCCCCUGCUAGAAAUCUGCGUGGGAGUGAGGGGAAUAUUCUGCCUCUCCUCAGGCAGAGGCCACUGGGCAAGCCCGUCAGAAAAACGGAAGGAACCAGCAGGUACCCUCAGGUUGGGCAUUUGUCAACCUGUUUGCAGUUUCGUAGACCACAAACAUUGUAUGUGUCUGCAGACUGGAUUUCUUUUAUGUAAAAUAAAGAAUUCAAACUCU
ensembl:lncRNA novel transcript, sense intronic to CTDSPL